GAUGCAGCCGGGCAAACAGAGAGCCUGGCACUGUUUGUUUUCAGCAGUGUUGUUUUUAUUCAGCAGCCAGGCUCUAUGUUUGUAUUCAGCCAGCUGCUGGAUACAAACAGCGCCGCUCAGGGGUGGCAGGGGGUGGUGGAAAGCAAGGACCUGCCUUUCUCCUUUUAAAGUCCCGCUCUCCGCACACCGCCCCCCUGGAUGUGCAUGAAACACUUCAUGCACAUCCCUACCUUUAACCACUGCAGCCUAGAAAUGACUUGCUGCGUCAAUGGGAUACAGACAUCACAGAGAGCAUUUGCAUAGUACCUUACCUUCACCGCCAACACAAUAGAGCUGUUCUCAUGACCAUCCAUUUCAAGGAGGACCCUGAAGAUGCACCUGUUUUCCUAGGCCUUCAACUGAGAUGUUCUCCAUGAGCAAAUAUCUGGUGAAGAGUUCUGAAACAGUUCCAAGAAGAAGGGAUAGCCAAGACAAUCAAGAGAGUUUCCAUGAAUAUCUGGGAUCAUCUUCUUCAACGAAACUGAAAUAAAGGGAAAAGUUUCGUGCUUCCUGAAUUAGUUUAAGGAUUAUAAAUUAAAAUAUCUGGCAACUGAUGAAAUAUAUGAUUUUACAUUUCAAUGUUAAAGGUGUGUGUAGUGCAAGGAACUUUAAUAAA